ensembl:processed_transcript
AGAGAAACUACACCCAUGGAGUUUUACCAACAUGGCUGCCUGAACAAGGCCCUGAACAACAAUGAUGAUACCAAUGGAGCUGCUAACAUGGUAGAACUUCAACUCUAGACGAGAAGUGCUGCACUCUCGAAAAGGCGUUGGGUAUGCGCCUGAGAAGCAUUAAAUCCACUUGUGCCUAGGAAAAACACCAUCUCCUUUUCAGGAUGUGCCUCGCAGAUGUACUUCUCUCUUGCCAUGGGCUCCACUGAAUGUGUGCUCCUCUCUAUGAUGGCCUAUGACAGAAUCUGGACACAAAGCUGACAUAUAUAUAUCUUCCUUGAAAUUAUGUAAAUGAUGGCCUCAUCCUGUGAGAGUGUAUUUCUUGCUACUACAGAUGGACCUUAUGCUUAAGAAAGGAGAGAUGAUCACACAUAAGUAUCACCCCAGCACUGGUGUGAACUCUUAUAAUCCCAAUAUUAUGGAGGCUUAGGCAGAAGGAUUAUAAAGCCAGCUGUGACCACAUACUGAGAUCCUCACCCAAAACACAGAGGAUCUGAAUAAAGAAAAAGAAGAAGAAAGUAAUGAGUGGGAGGGGGAGAAUGAGGAAGGGAAAAGGGAAGGGAAAAAUGAAGGAAAGAAGUUGCUAUGUGAGACCCAUACCUGAGCAAGAUAGGACUCACGAAAAAUAAGUCAGUCACUGGUGCCUGGAUUUAGGAAAGAAGCUUGUAAGAAGUAUGUCAGGAUUCAGUGGGGUAGAAUUCUUCUGGUGAUCUUAAUUCAAGUGCCCUCAGCAUGUAAGAGAGAAGUUCUCACUCUCAGCUCUCUGAUACUACAGUCCGUCAACUCGAAAUUCUCCAAAGGGAGGGGCGAUUAUUUUUAUUUCAUCUCUACUUAAAUAGCUCAUUGUAAACAGUGACCACAAUAUAAUAUUGGUUUUGGCUAAGAUCCCACAGUUUAUAGAGGACAUAUAUGAAUGAGGAAUUUCCUCUGGAAUAGAUUAUGAAGCUGCUCAGAGGCAAAACCCAGUAACAUGGCCUCAAUUGCUCUGGUUGGGUCAGUAGCUUAAACAAGGUCCUCUAAUUUCAAGAGUUUGGGGAGUGAGUUUUUUUUUUAUAGUCUAGACGUUUUGUGUACCCCACAGACAAACCUGUGUAUGC